CCUGCUAUGGGAUUAGAUUUGUGCCAAUAGGAUCAAGAAAAACACUUUGGAGAGCAAACAAAUUUUAAGACAUUGAGAGAAAAAACAUUGGUUUCAAAAGAAAAACUUACGAUCUGAAUCAGAUUCUUAAAAUGAUCAAGAAAAACACUUUGACGGUCAAACAAAAAUUAAGAAAUUGACAGAACAAAAAUAUUGACUAAAGGAAAAAAAACAUAUUUCAAAAGUAAAACUUACUAUCUGAAUCAACUUCUUAAAAUGAGUAACAAAGUAUGUUUCCUUUUUCUGUUUGCCUCUAUGUGUUUUUGUUAUCAAUUUCCUUAGUUUUGUUCUCGCUGCUCAGAGCUUUGCUCUCACUACCAGAUUUGCACUUACACUGUCUGGCUUUCUCCUUUGCAAUCCCUGAGUUUUUGGUUGCAAUUCUGACACAACCCUUUCGGGUGGGCGGGACUUCUGAGAAGUCCUCUCCCAUAGGACAGUGGUUUCUCUUGAGUGACAGUUCAGUGACCUGGAAGUGAUGUAGCCUCCAAGACAUUUUUUUCCCACCUGGUCAACAACAUGAAUUUUGAGCCCCAAACAGGUUAUUUCUGCUGUCUGUGGUGUCUACUGAGGAUCUAAAGAACCUGUGGAACAUCAGAGACUUUGCAGCUACUGGAGCUAACCUGUGUACUGCUAACUUGCUACAGAGGAAGCAGCAGAAAGCUGAGCUAACAGGCUGUUUUGCAGGUAAUCCUCAGGUGUCAGCAGGAGGAGGUGACUACCUGCACAACAGAGCACUCUGGUUCUGAGCCAGUUGCACCUUUGUGCAGCUCUUUGGGGAGACGAUGCUCAGCAGACACAUGCCUCCAUGUGGUCAGGUGGUGUUGGUGUGAUCUGGGAGGGCACACUCAUGUCGUCAUCUCCUUGUGCCGUCUCCAGGAUCCUGAUGGGAGUUCUCUGUGCCUAUAAAGCAGGAGUAUUUACUUCUGGGCCUGGAGGGCCGGUAUCCAGCACGUUUUAGUUUUAACUCUGUUUCAGUACACCUGAUUUCAGUCAGCAGAUAAUUAACAGGCUUCUGCAGAGCUGCUGCACAGGUAAUUCAACCACUGAUUCAAGUGUGUUGGAGCAGGGAAACAACUAAAACGUGCUGGAUACCAGCCAUCCAGGACUAGAAUUGAAUACCCCUGCUAUAAAGCCUUCCUCCCUCCUCCGGACUUUAAACAUUAGUGUUUUAUUACGGUUUACCUGAUUUAGUAAAUAAAUCUCAAUUUAUAAA